AUCGAACGCUGGCGGCAUGCCUUACACAUGCAAGUCGAACGGUAACGCGGGGCAACCUGGCGACGAGUGGCGAACGGGUGAGUAAAGCAUCGGAACGUGCCCAGUAGUGGGGGAUAGCCCGGCGAAAGCCGGAUUAAUACCGCAUACGACCUAAGGGUGAAAGGGGGGGAUCGCAAGACCUCUCGCUAUUGGAGCGGCCGAUGGCAGAUUAGGUAGUUGGUGGGGUAAAGGCCUACCAAGCCGACGAUCUGUAGCUGGUCUGAGAGGACGACCAGCCACACUGGGACUGAGACACGGCCCAGACUCCUACGGGAGGCAGCAGUGGGGAAUUUUGGACAAUGGGCGCAAGCCUGAUCCAGCCAUGCCGCGUGCGGGAAGAAGGCCUUCGGGUUGUAAACCGCUUUUGUCAGGGAAGAAAUCCUUUGGGUUAAUACCUCGGGGGGAUGACGGUACCUGAAGAAUAAGCACCGGCUAACUACGUGCCAGCAGCCGCCGCCGUAA
rnacentral:rRNA from 1 species